rnacentral:misc_RNA from 1 species
AGCCUUCGCCACAGGAGUCGAUCGCCGCGUCGAGGCUGUCGAUGUCGUCGCGCGGUGUGAGGCCCAGGCCGUCCGCCAGCGACGUCGAGGCCGGUACCGCCGGUUCGCCGCUGCAUGCGCUUGCGAGCAGCGCGAGCACGAACGCCGUCAUCCAGAAUCCCUUCAGAACCAUCCCGGCAUCUCCUUGCCUUACCGCCCACAACCGGCAACGCGGCAUGCGGACGGCCCCUGCGACUCACCGGCGGGCCUCGGGCAAGGCCGGCGUGCGCAAACGACUGGUUUUCCCCCGGGCGGACCAUACCCCAAUCUCCCAGGGGCCGGGUGACGACGCCGGGCCUGCGGCCGCCAGGGCUAUCGGCCCCACGCGUUAGACUGGUGCACCCCAU